AUUGAACGCUGGCGGCAUGCCUUACACAUGCAAGUCGAACGGCAGCACGGGGCAACCUGGUGGCGAGUGGCGAACGGGUGAGUAAUGCAUCGGAACGUACCUUUCAGUGGGGGAUAACGUAGCGAAAGUUACGCUAAUACCGCAUAUUCUGUGAGCAGGAAAGCAGGGGAUCGCAAGACCUUGCGCUGAUUGAGCGGCCGAUGUCAGAGUCGCUAGUUGGUGAGGUAAAGGCUCACCAAGGCGACGAACUGUAGCGGGUCUGAGAGGAUGAUCCGCCACACUGAAACUGAGACACGGUCCAGACUCCUACGGGAGGCAGCAGUGGGGAAUUUUGGACAAUGGGGGCAACCCUGAUCCAGCCAUGCCGCGUGAGUGAAGAAGGCCUUCGGGUUGUAAAGCUCUUUCGGCCGGGAAGAAAUCGCACGGGCUAAUACCCUGUGUGGAUGACGGUACCGGAAUAAGAAGCACCGGCUAACUACGUGCCAGCAGCCGCAGUAAUAC
rnacentral:rRNA from 1 species